rnacentral:rRNA from 1 species
GGCGGCGUGCUUAACACAUGCAAGUCGAACGGUGAAGCCUUUCGGGGUGGAUCAGUGGCGAACGGGUGAGUAACACGUGGGCAAUCUGCCCUGCAUUCUGGGACAAGCCUUGGAAACGAGGUCUAAUACCGGAUACGACGCAUCUCCGCAUGGGGUGUGCGUGGAAAGCUCCGGCGAUGCAGGAUGAGCCCGCGGCCUAUCAGCUUGUUGGUGGGGUAAUGGCCUACCAAGGCGACGACGGGUAGCCGGCCUGAGAGGGCGACCGGCCACACUGGGACUGAGACACGGCCCAGACUCCUACGGGAGGCAGCAGUGGGGAAUAUUGCACAAUGGGCGAAAGCCUGAUGCAGCGACGCCGCGUGAGGGAUGACGGCCUUCGGGUUGUAAACCUCUUUCAGCAGGGAAGAAGCGCAAGUGACGGUACCUGCAGAAGAAGCACCGGCUAACUACGUGCCAGCAGCCGCGGUAAUACGUAGGGUGCGAGCGUUGUCCGGAUUUAUUGGGCGUAAAG